AACGCGAAGAACCUUACCAGGGUUUGACAUCCUGCGAAUCUCUUGGAAACGAGAGAGUGCCUUCGGGAACGCAGUGACAGGUGGUGCAUGGCUGUCGUCAGCUCGUGUCGUGAGAUGUUGGGUUAAGUCCCGCAACGAGCGCAACCCACGUCGUUAGUUGCCAGCAUUUAGUUGGGCACUCUAGCGAGACCGCCGGUGAUAAACCGGAGGAAGGUGUGGAUGACGUCAAGUCAUCAUGCCCCUUACAUCCUGGGCUACACACGUACUACAAUGCUACGGACAAAGGGCAGCAAGCUCGCGAGAGUUAGCAAAUCCCAUAAACCGUGGCUCAGUUCAGAUCGUAGGCUGCAACUCGCCUACGUGAAGGAGGAAUCGCUAGUAAUCGCAGGUCAGCAUACUGCGGUGAAUACGUUCCCGGGUCUUGUACACACCG
rnacentral:rRNA from 1 species